rnacentral:rRNA from 1 species
GACGAACCGUGCGAACGUUGUUCGGAAUCACUGGGCUUAAAGGGCGCGUAGGCGGGCCGGCAAGUCCGGGGUGAAAGCCCCCAGCUCAACUGGGGAAGCGCCUUGGAUACUGCCGGCCUCGAGGGAGGUAGGGGCGUGCGGAACUUCCGGUGGAGCGGUGAAAUGCGUAGAUAUCGGAAGGAACACCGGUGGCGAAAGCGGCGCGCUGGACCUCUUCUGACGCUGAGGCGCGAAAGCCAGGGGAGCAAACGGGG